rnacentral:rRNA from 1 species
ACAGUUUCAUCCUGGCUCAGAACGAACGCUGGCGGCAGGCCUAACACAUGCAAGUCGAGCGCACUCUUAGGGGUGAGCGGCGGACGGGUUAGUAACGCGUGGGAAUAUACCCUUGUGUAGGGAAUAGCCUCGGGAAACUGAGAGUAAUACCAUAUACGCCCUUCGGGGGAAAGAUUUAUCGGUGAAGGAUUAGCCCGCGUUAGAUUAGAUAGUUGGUGAGGUAAUGGCCUACCAAGUCUACGAUCUGUAGCUGGUUUGAGAGGAUGAUCAGCAACACUGG